rnacentral:lncRNA from 1 species
AUUGCUCUCCCUCAAGGUCUGAAAGAAGGAUGAUGAAAAGUUUAAGCAAUCACCAUGGAAACGUAGAGGAGAUACAAGGCGGGUUCAGAUCCCAGCACACUAACAGAUCAGUCUUCAGGUGCUGAGGUCCUGGUGGAAGGUGAAUUCUGACUAUUCACUGUGGCUUCCAGAAUCAGGGCUGACCCAGAGGCCACAUCCACAGUCAUGGGCUCAGAGCAUCCCAGGGGCUCAGCAGUGAGUUUCCUCAGCAUGGCAGAAGCCCACAGAUCUGCUGUCACAAAGUGGAACCCUGCUCAGGUCUGCAGGAGAAAAGACAUUCGAAGCCCAGCCUGGUCUUUCUCUGGUCUUGACCAAGAUGUGUUCCCUUUCAUGUCUGUGAAUAACCAAAAGAAGCAAGAGGUUCCUGCCUCCCAUCACUAGAGACAGCAAAUUGUGUCAGCAGAUGUGAAAUGAAAUGCUUCCCAUAACAACCAUACUAAGAAAUCAACAUCCAGGGCACCCGCCCAGCAAGUAGGCUGGGUAUUACUGAACAGAUAAAAGACGGAACGGAUUUGCAAGGGAUGGAACCUAUGCAGGAUAGUCUAUUUCAAACUGCACAUAAGGUGCAAUUUGAAUUACAGUGAAGAGCAGACAGGAGCAGAGGGAAAUGCAGCCCCACCCUGGCCUUGAUCAAGUCAAGCCUAACCCAAGCUUUCUCCUGUUUCCUUUGAUGUGUAGCAUACAUUCAGGCAGACUGAAGUAUUUUUCCAAUUCAUCUCCCCUCCCUGACUCCACGCUUUUUGCCCUGUAGCUCUGUAGAUCAUCCCACAAAAGGCAUCCAUACUGUCCUUGACUUUGGGCUUGAUCUAAUAGCUUGCUUUGACUAAUUAGCUGAAAUGGCAGGGUGCCAGUUCUGAGCCAUGGCUUAAGAGGCUUCAAGUAUUUCCACUUUCCCUCCUGUGUUUUUUGUCAUCACUGUGAGAAGAACUUCCCUUGGGCAGCUGCUGCCCCUUUAGCUGGGACCCAGGAGGAAUACAUGUGGAAGAAUCACCUCCCCGACCCCACCGUCCAACCAGCCAGAUCGAUGGCUUGAAGCACUACCGCAGAGGAGCCACUUCAGCCACUCUGCAGAUGCAUGGGAAACAAAUGCUCGUUGCCACCAAGAUUUUAUAGAUGCUGGUUAUGCAGCAGUAGAUGAUUGUUAAAAUCCUCCAUCUUUCCAACAUCACAACAAUCAAUGUCAUGGAUGUUGGAAAAGUAAAGCACAUCAUCCCUCAGCUCUCCCUCAGUUUCAGUUGUCACUGACCACAAGCCUUCCUGAGAGAAAAUGCCGAGCAUGCAUCACAGUUUCGAUUCCUGUUGGGCCCUCACUGUGCCCUGUGCCAUCAGAGAUGGCAUGGCUACCAGCAGCUAUAAGGAGGCCAAUGCACCUGAGAGAAGCUCCAAGCAAAUUGUAAGAUUUCAUCUCUACUCCUUUGCCGCUCAUGGAAGUCCUGUCAAGUGACUGGUGGGGUUGUGUUUGAACUCGGGAGGUGGAGCGGCAUUACAGUUCUCAGGAAGCACUGUCAAUGUUUCUUUCAGUCAGUCCCCGAGUGAACACCUUUUCCAGAAUGCCACAUGUCAUUACCCUCAAGCUCUUUCUAAACCUCCAUGUCUCCACUCUCCAGUCAAGGGAUGCACCACACAGGUACACUCAAUCAUUUUCAACAAAUAUUUACUGAGCACCUACUGUGGGCUGGAUACCUACCAUGGGGGUGGCAUGCUAGAUGCCAUGCUAAAUGAAACAGCAGCAGUUGUGAUGGGCAUUUCAUGAGAGUCAGGGGCAAGACUGGCUCCCAAACAUCUGUUCUGAGACACUGGGCAGAUGGAGGUACCAUUUACUAAGACGGGAGAGCCUGGGGCAGGGUUGGUUUGGAGGAAUACAAAGCACUCAGUUUUUGGACGUACAUGUUUGAGAUGCUUCUGAGACAUGAAAGCAGAGCUGUCAAAUGGGAAGUCAGACGUCCAAAUACGGAACUCAGAGGAAAGAGGUCUGAGUGGAAGACAUCGAUAGGGAGAGUUGCCGGCAUGUAGAUGGCAUUUAAAACCACAAGACUGAGCAGAGAGCACACAUAGAGAAGAGGAGGGGCCCCUGUCAAGUGCUGAGAAAUCCCAGUAUUUCGAGGACAGGCACAGGAAAGAGGAAUAAACAAGGGGGCUCUAAAGGGAGCUGGGGAGAU